rnacentral:rRNA from 1 species
GUGAGGAAUAUUGGACAAUGGGCGCAAGCCUGAUCCAGCCAUGCCGUGUGCAGGAAGACGCAUCUAUGGUGUGUAAACUGCUUUUGUACGGGAAGAAACACUCCCUCGUGAGGGAGCUUGACGGUACCGUAAGAAUAAGGAUCGGCUAACUCCGUGCCAGCAGCCGCGGUAAUACGGAGGAUCCAAGCGUUAUCCGGAAUCAUUGGGUUUAAAGGGUCCGUAGGCGGUUUAAUAAGUCAGUGGUGAAAGCCCAUCGCUCAACGAUGGAACGGCCAUUGAUACUGUUAGACUUGAAUUACAAGGAAGUAACUAGAAUAUGUAGUGUAGCGGUGAAAUGCUUAGAUAUUACAUGGAAUACCAAUUGCGAAGGCAGGUUACUACUUGUGGAUUGACGCUGAUGGACGAAAGCGUGGGGAGCGAACAGGAUUAGAAACCCUGGUAGUCC